GGGGCUAUAGCUCAGCUGGGAGAGCACCUGCUUUGCACGCAGGGGGUCAGGAGUUCGAAUCUCCUUAGCUCCACCA
rnacentral:tRNA from 3 species